UACGUAGGUGGCAAGCGUUGUCCGGAUUUACUGGGCGUAAAGAGCGCGCAGGCGGUUUUGUAAGCCAGAUGUGAAAUCCCCGGGCUUAACCUGGGAAUGGCAUUUGGGACUGCAAGGCUCGAGUGCGGCAGAGGAGACUGGAAUUCCUGGUGUAGCAGUGAAAUGCGUAGAUAUCAGGAGGAACACCGAUGGCGAAGGCAGGUCUCUGGGCUGACACUGACGCUCAUGCACGAAAGCGUGGGGAGCAAACAGG
rnacentral:rRNA from 1 species